CAAAUGUUCUUCGUGAACAUGGCGGACUGCGUCAGUAACACGUGGAUAACCUGCCCUUAGGAUUGGCAUAACACCGGGAAACUGGUGAUAAUACCGAAUAGACCAUUUAUGCUGGAAUGCUUUUUGGUUCAAAGGCUUCGGCUGCCUAAGGAUGGAUCUGCGGCCUAUCAGGUAGUAGUGGGUGUAAUGUACCUACUAGCCUACGACGGGUACGGGUUGUGAGAGCAAGAGCCCGGAGAUGGAUUCUGAGACAUGAAUCCAGGCCCUACGGGGCGCAGCAGGCGCGAAAACUUUACAAUGCGGGAAACCGCGAUAAGGGGACACUGAGUGCCAGCAUAUUAUGUUGGCUGUCCACAUGUAUAAAAACCAUGUGUUAGCAAGGGCCGGGCAAGACCGGUGCCAGCCGCCGCGGUAACACCGGCGGCCCGAGUGGUGAUCACUUUUAUUGGGUCUAAAGGGUCCGUAGCCGGUUUAAUCAGUCUUCUGGGAAAUCUGACAGCUCAACUGUUAGGCUUUCAGGGGAUACUGUUAGACUUGGGACCGGGAGAGGUAAGAGGUACUACAGGGGUGGGAGUGAAAUCUUGUAAUCCCUGUGGGACCACCAGUGGCGAAGGCGUCUUACCAGAACGGGUCCGACGGUGAGGGACGAAAGCUGGGGGCACGAACCGGAUUAGAUACCCGGGUAGUCCCAGCCGUAAACGAUGUUCGCUAGGUGUCAGGGACGGUGCGACCGUUUCUGGUGCCGUAGGGAAGCCGUGAAGCGAACCACCUGGGAAGUACGGCCGCAAGGCUGAAACUUA
rnacentral:rRNA from 1 species